UAUGAAGGAAGGACAAUAAUAAUAAAAGUUGAGUGGAUGGCAGAUGCGUCACAAAUAAUUUCGUAGGUGGUGGAUGCGUCAGGAAAGCCUUACAAGAAACUGUCGCCGGCGGUGAUUUGCUCAUUUGCUCUUCUGAUUGAUUUCUUUUAGGGCUUUUCCGACACCUCCACCACCGGACCACCAUCAUAUAAGCAGCAGCAGCAGCAGAUAUUCAUAAGCCUUUUGCUUCUAUCCACUGAGCAAUAAUCAGAUGAGCUUAUGAAUUGGUAACAGUUUUGCUACACCUUCACACUACAUGAUUACAUGCAACAUGAAAACUCAAUAAUCAGAUUAUCAUUUUCUAAACUUGAUUUGAAGGUUAUGUGCUAGUUUUUUCCUUUAAAAUUGUCAUAAGUUUUUAACCCAUGUUUAGAUUCUGAUAUCGUGUUCGUUUGUUAAGAAAUAUAUGUGGUCACAAACAAACAGUUCAUGAACACUUAUCGAACGAGAUUUUAUGUUCGUGUUUGUGUUCGUUUGUUAAUUUUAGGCAACGCACGUUGAUGAAUACAAACUAAUGUUCAUAAACACAGAUGGAAACAAACGAACCAAAACAAGCACUCACGAACAGGAUAUAUAAUAGACUCAUACUUAUUAAAUAUUUUAUUUGUCGGAAUUUUGAAGCAUUUAAUUAAAAAAUAAAAACUAAAAACACUAAUGAGCUAUUGAACACAAUCCAACAUAAACGAACAUGUUACCGAACGUUCACGGGCAUAAAUAAACUGACACCGCCUCUGUUCAUGUUCGUUUGUUUAAUAAACGAACGAACACAAACAAACUUCCCUUCAAACGGUUCACGAACUGUUCAUUGAACGUUUGAUUCGUUUGCAGCCGGUCACAUUUGUACAUCUUAUGAUGGAUCAUAACAAUCUAUCGGAUUUGGUUCCAAGUUUUCUCAUAUUUUUCGGUUUUCAAGCACCUUGUGAAUGGUAUAACUGAUACUAAUCUUGAGGGAAUAAUUACAGCUUUUGGCACAUGAUGGAGGUCUUUCUUACAAGGACUUGGGAAAGAACCGUCUUAGAAGCAAAUGCUAAAGAAAAGCUUAUAUGGAUGUUAGCAUUCAUGCUUGUUGGGGCAUGGAAUUCUGGAGCCAGUGUAGGCAGUGGCAGACCCAGAAUUAUUUUCUGGGGGUGCGAACGAGGGGUUCAAACAAAUUUUCAAAGGGUGCGAUCGAGAUUUUUGUCUAUAAAUAAAUACAAUAAUUGUUUUCUAAGGGGGUGCCCGUCCACCUACCCUUCGCUCGGGUUUGCCCUUGAGUGUGGGAGUUGUUGAGAAGGAUUUCCAUUAAGAGGUGAGAUUGCCUUCAUCGACACAAUAGCUCAACAAAGUUCUAAUAUUUCUAUCAUGUAAUUUGUUUUAUCUUGAAUCUAGCAUCAUGCCGAAGACAUAUAUUCCAUACACUCGUCUUAAGUACACAAGAAUGAAACGAUACCAAGUUAAAACAGGUUGAAUGUCAUUGAAAGUGUAUGUUUUAAUGUUCUUGUAACAAUAAAGUUUCGUAAUCAUUUUCAAUACAAUGGACAAGCAAGUGAUUACAUCGCAACCCAACUCUACAUAAAAAUCACACUAUUCAACCCAAACCCGUGACCCGUUCAUGGUCCAUCCAUAAAUAACAAUCUAUAUAUUUGACAAAUCAUUUACACUUCAGGUGAGUAGCCUCGUCGAUGAGCUAGCAGCAGCAGAGAAAGGGAUCGUUGUUUUAUGAAGAGGUCAAGGGUAUAUUAUGUUCUUAUGCAUGCUCGAGCGGUUUCCUAUUUCCCAACAGCAGUGAAGGAGGUAUGCUUUCUUUUGACCAGCCAUUUAUUUUGUUACCAAGUGGUAACGAAUCUCGCCGUUCAAAUGGAGAACCGGUCUGUUUUGUUCCCUCAAAAAGCAACCACCCGACGGAAACAAGAUCUAUUUCCUCUGGCACACAGCUCGACUUAAAGAACUAGAGAUUGAUCAUUAAAUCAUAUGUACACAAGUAUUUCAAACAACUAUUUAUACAACAUAAUCGUUCAUUCAACA